GGACGGCUAGCCAGCACCGAAGCCUGUGGUUAUUUGAUCACCAGGCAAUGUGGUGUUCAGGUCAUUUUGCAGAGGCGCUGCUCCACCCUAAGUCCAAUGAUGAGUACGGUAUCAUGGAAAUGGCCCAUUGAGGGUGAAAGGCCCGUGGGGGUGGAGAUCAGGUUGGCCAGUGCUACUCUGAGGAGACCUUAGAGUCGGGUUGUUUGUGAAUGCAGCCCAAAGUGGGUGGUAGACUCCAUCCAAGGCUAAAUACAUCACGAGUCCGAUAGCGAACAAGUACCGUGAGGGAAAGUUGAAAAGUACUCUGAAGAGAGAGUAAACAGUGCGUGAAGCCGUUCAGAGGUAAACAGAUGGAGUUGAACUGUGAGUUUCGACGGUUCAGCUGGUGACUUUGUUUGGGCUUGGUCAAGCUGGUUGGGCUUUGAGGUCUGUGUAGCAACAGGUUCUCGCUCUCGGGUGGGAAUGCGCGAUGCACUCGUUGAGUGUUGUGCGCCUCAGAUGUUCCGAGCUUAGUCGCCAGUGCAUUCCGUUGAGACGGUCACCACGACCGGCACUUUCGUCUGUCUUUUGUGGUCAAACCGGGCGUGCUUUGUCCAUGUGGCUUUGUGCGUGCGGGAUGGCAGGUAACUCGUUGGUUUGUUCGCAGGCCUCCGGGUGAAAUAGCUGGCCGCAAUUUGACUGUGCGUUGUGUCGGGGACAGCGGCUUAGAGUGUGUGCGUGUGUGCAGUCUGCUGGCGUAUCCGUGUUUGGUUGCUCAGUUGCUCACCUAGUGGGCCAAGCGGCGACUGGGAUGCGUUCAGUGGGUGGUCGCGCUCGUUGCACUGUUCGAAGGCCGAGAGUCUGUGGUGUUGCGGUAGACGAUGCAUCAUACCGUCU
rnacentral:rRNA from 1 species